rnacentral:rRNA from 1 species
GUCGAYGAUSAACCCNKCUUGCKGGGUGBAUUAGUGRCGAACGGGUGAGUAACACDUGAGUAACCUGCCCUUAACUCUGGGAUAASCCUGGGAAACUGGGUCUAAUACCGGAUAGGAGCGCCSACCGCAUGGUGGGUGUUGGAAWGAUUUAUCGGUUUUGGAUGGACUCGCGGCCUAUCWGCUUGUUGGUGAGGUAAUGGCYCACCAAGGCGACGACGGGUAGCCGGCCUGAGAGGGUGACCGGCCACACUGGGACUGAGACACSGCCCAGACUCCUACSGGAGGCMGCAGUGGGGAAUAUUGCACAAUGGGCSCAAGCCUGAUGCAGCSACGCCGCGUGAGGGAUGACGGCCUUCGGGUUGUAAACCUCUUUCAGUAGGGAAGAAGCGAAAGUGACGGUACCUGCAGAAGAAGCACCGGCUAACUACGUGCCMGCAGCCGCGGUAAUACGUAGGGUGCGAGCGUUAUCCGGAAUUAUUGGGCGUAAAGAGCUCGUAGGCGGUUUGUCKCGUCUGUCGUGAAAGUCCGGGGCUUAACCCCGGAUCUGCGGUGGGUACGGGCAGACUAGAGUGCAGUAKGGGAGACUGGAAUUCCUGGUGUAUCGGUGGAAUGCGCAGAUAUCACGAGGAACACCGAUGGCGAAGGCAGGUCUCUGGGCUGUAACUGACGCUGAGGAGCGAAAGCAUGGGGAGCGAACAGGAUUAGAUACCCUGSUAGUCCAUGCCGUAMACGUUGGGCACUAGGUGUGGGGACCAUUCCACGGUUUCCGCGCCGCAGCUAACGCAUUAAGUGCCCCGCCUGGGGAGUACGGCCGCAAGGCUAAUACUCAGASGAAUUGACGGGGGCCCGCACAAGCGGCGGAGCAUGCGGAUUMAUUCRAUGCAACGCGAAGAACCUUACCAAKGCUUGACAUGUUCUCGAUCGYCGUAGAGAUACGGUUUCCCCUUUGCGGCGGGUUCACAGGUGGYGCAUGGUUGUCGUCAGCUCGUGUCGUGAGAUGUUGGGCUAAGUCCUGCAA